AGAUGGUCUCGAUCUCCUGACCUUGUGAUCCACCCGUCUGGGCCUCCCAAAGUCCUGGGAUUACAGGCGUGAGCCACCGUGCCCGGCCUAACUGCUCUGAUAUUUUUAAAAAAGGUGACUUGGAUUAAAGUAUGCAAACUCAAGGAGUAGUACGAGCCCACUUGAGUCAAGUUAGCUUAGUUGCUAAAGAGCUUGAUACCAAAAUUACUUUUGUUUACUUGAUGAAUGGGAUAGUUGUUGCACAGGGCCACUGAUCUAGAUUACUGUCUUAUUUGUCAAGUACUUAUAGUUGUAGAAGUAGCAGUUUGAAAAUUACCGGAAUGGAGAAGGGGCAAUGAUAAAACAAUUUAUUUUCAGGUACCAGCAACUUCAAGGUUUCUGCCAGCCCACUGUUGUAUACGCUUAUUGAGAAAACAAUGCAAAAUGUGAAGCAUCCGGUUACUGGGCAAUUUCUAUAUCAGGACAGCAACUGGGCCAGCAAAGUUGAGAAACUCACUUUAGACAAUGCUGCUUUCCCUUUCCUUGCAUAUUCUGGAAUCCCAGCAGUUUCUUUCUGUUUUUGCGAGGACACAGAUUAUCCUUAUUUGGGUACCACCAUGGACACCUAUAAGGAACUGAUUGAGAGGAUUCCUGAGUUGAACAAAGUGGCACGAGCAGCUGCAGAGGUCGCUGGUCAGUUCGUGAUUAAACUAACCCAUGAUGUUGAAUUGAACCUGGACUAUGAGAGGUACAACAGCCAACUGCUUUCAUUUGUGAG
rnacentral:sRNA from 1 species